rnacentral:misc_RNA from 1 species
AUUUGACGGUUAUAUAGAAUUGUACCGCGAGAAACCGUUGAAGAGUCAAUGGUACGAAUUUCAAAUAACGUAAUUUAUCGGGUCAGAUCGAAUCGAUAACGCGAUUCAUCUCGUAAGAUGAGGUUAAUCCACGUGGGUCACGCAAUUACGAAUGCAGACGACACGUUUCAUUAUGAAACUGUAACGCAUGAUCGCUGAGAAUAUCACGCCAACUCCGCAAUAUAAUCUACUACACGUGGAGAUACGAACUCAAUCGUGGUUGAGUAGAACGAAAUGUAAGACUAUACAAAUCGAGUACUUCACAUUCACGGGGCAAUGGCCCAUAAUCGAAAGUUUAUUUUGGUUGAGAAAAAAAAGGGGGAUCUCCCCUGUCUGGAUUGUGUAUACUACGCUGCCGACGGGGGUAUUCGAGAUGGGUUUUCCCUGAGAAAGUACAUGUGAUCAAUUAACCGAUCCACCAAACAUCGGGGCGACCGACGUACCAAACUUGGGGCAAGAGACCAGCGGAGUCGCUGACAUUCACAUUGGUUCGCGCACAAAUGGUACAAAAAUUGGGUCAAGUUUGCGAUCUCUCUUUUUGCAGGCAUCGCGGUGCAGUAAUAUAGUUACGACGUAUAGCAUAUGCGUAUUAAGUUUUUUAACGAUCGAACGAUCGUCGUAAAUUAACGAACGUGGUUCUUUCACCUAUUCGCGAAUCACGUCUCAUAUAUAUGACGUAUUUCUUACACGUCGUGAUAUGCGAAAUAAACAAAGUCGAUCGGUAAAAAUGAUCAACAACAAUUGUUUAUUUUGUUGAUGUUUUUCGACCAAAAUCUAAUCUCUCGCUUACGAGUAAUUUCCCAGAUGUAGAAUUGCUAUGUACGGGACUUCCGUUGAAUCCAUCAAUAUAAAAUUUAUACCUCGCCGUUUUACGGCUCCAACCUUGACGCUUUGUCUCGAUUUCGAUGAUUUGCAGAAAUUUUGUGACAAGUUUUCAGGAUUGAUCUGAGAAAAUGCACCGCGAACUGUGAUAUCGUAUAGAUUUCCUGAUGUUAUCGACUUGCAGUCGUUUGGUUCUUGCGAAAUGUAGAUAAAGGGUUCAAAAAUCAGAGUUGAUGUAUAUAUAAAUAGAAUUAUCAACAAAUCUUAUCGCGCUAAUAGGUAUUUACUUUUCACGUUGUAAUCUCAUAAUAUGCCAACGGAUGAAAAACUAUGUCAGCUGAUGGAAGGACGUAAUUGAUUAAAUUGAUCAAAUUAGAAAUAGGUCAAGUGUAUUUUGAGGACCCCUAGCUGUAUUAAAAUGCACACGAGUCAUUCACUUCCUAACCUGUAGUAGUUACCAUACUGCAGACUGACACUCUCAUUAUCAGCAUCCCGAAACGGUAGAAAAUGAUAAUCAUCAAGGAACAAUCAAAUCUGCGAAUUUAGGUACACGACCGCAGUAUGU